ACGAACGCUGGCGGCGUGCUUAACACCUGCAAGUCGAACGGAAAGGCCUCUUUCUGGGGGUACUCGAGUGGCGAACGGGUGAGUAACACGUGAGUAACCUGCCCUUUACUUUGGGAUAACUUCAGGAAACUGGGGCUAAUACCGGAUAGGAGCUCCUGCUGCAUGGUGGGGGUUGGAAAGUUUCGGCGGUUGGGGUUGGACUCGCGGCUUAUCAGCUUGUUGGUGGGGUAGUGGCUUACCAAGGCUUUGACGGGUAGCCGGCCUGAGAGGGUGACCGGCCACAUUGGGACUGAGAGACGGCCCAGACUCCUACGGGAGGAAGCAGUGGGGAAGAUUGCACAAUGGGUGGAAGCCGGAUGCAGCAACGCCGUGGGCGGGAUGACGGACUUCGGGUUGUAAACCGCUUUCGCUCAUGACGAAGCUUUGUGUGACGGUAGUGGGUAAAGAAGCACCGGCUAACUACGUG
rnacentral:rRNA from 1 species